rnacentral:misc_RNA from 1 species
CAAGGAAGCCGCAAGGACUCCUUAAACCAUUGUGAACCUACCUAUCAAGUUGCUUCGGCGGGCGAGGCUCCCCUCACGGGGCCCGCAGCCCCCGCCUCUCAGGAGGUAAGGGCAGCCCGCCGGAGGCGUACGAAACUAUAGCAUACUAGUGGCUAUCUCUGAGUAGCUUAUAAAAAUAAGUCA